GAUGAACGCUAGCGGCAGGCCUAACACAUGCAAGUCGAGGGGCAGCACAAAGAUAGUUUACUAUUUUGGUGGCGACCGGCGCACGGGUGAGUAACGCGUAUGCAACCUACCUUAUACAGGAGUAUAGCCCGAAGGAAUUCGGAUUAAUCCUCCAUAGUAUUUUCUAAUGGCAUCAUUUGGAAAAUUAAAGCUUCGGCGGUAUAAGAUGGGCAUGCGUCCUAUUAGCUAGAUGGUAAGGUAAAGGCUUACCAUGGCUACGAUAGGUAGGGGGCCUGAGAGGGUGACCCCCCACACUGGUACUGAGACACGGACCAGACUCCUACGGGAGGCAGCAGUGAGGAAUAUUGGGCAAUGGAGGCAACUCUGACCCAGCCAUGCCGCGUGCAAGGAAAAUGCCCUAUGGGUUGUAAACUGCUUUUAUUUAGGAAUAAACCCCUCUACGUGUAGAAGGCUGAAGGUACUAAACGAAUAAGCACCGGCUAACUCCGUGCCAGCAGCCGCGGUAAUACGGAGGGUGCAAGCGUUAUCCGGAAUCAUUGGGUUUAAAGGGUCCGCAGGCGGACGUAUAAGUCAGUGGUGAAAUCCUGCAGCUUAACUGCAGAACUGCCAUUGAUACUGUACGUCUUGAAUUCGGUCGAAGUGGGCGGAAUGUGUAGUGUAGCGGUGAAAUGCAUAGAUAUUACACAGAACACCGAUAGCGAAGGCAGCUCACUAGGCCUGGAUUGACGCUCAGGGACGAAAGCGUGGGGAUCAAACAGGAUUAGAUACCCUGGUAGUCCACGCUGUAAACGAUGAUUACUCGUUUUCGGCGAUAUACAGUCGGAGACUAAGCGAAAGUGAUAAGUAAUCCACCUGGGGAGUACGAUCGCAAGGUUGAAACUCAAAGGAAUUGACGGGGGCCCGCACAAGCGGUGGAGCAUGUGGUUUAAUUCGAUGAUACGCGAGGAACCUUACCAGGGCUUAAAUGCAGAGCGAAUAGUUUGGAAACAGACUAGCCUUCGGGCGAUCUGCAAGGUGCUGCAUGGCUGUCGUCAGCUCGUGCCGUGAGGUGUUGGGUUAAGUCCCGCAACGAGCGCAACCCCUAUCUUUAGUUGCCAGCGAGUAAUGUCGGGGACUCUAAAGAAACUGCCUACGCAAGUAGAGAGGAAGGCGGGGACGACGUCAAGUCAUCACGGCCCUUACGUCCUGGGCCACACACGUGCUACAAUGGUUGGUACAGAGGGCAGCUACCGGGUGACCGGAUGCGAAUCUCUAAAGCCAAUCUCAGUUCGGAUUGGAGUCUGCAACUCGACUCUAUGAAGCUGGAAUCGCUAGUAAUCGCGCAUCAGCCAUGGCGCGGUGAAUACGUUCCCGGGCCUUGUACACACCGCCCGUCAAGCCAUGGAAGCUGGGGGUACCUGAAGUCGGUAACCGUAAGGAGCUGCCUAGGGUAAAACUAGUAACUGGGGCUAAGUCGUAACAAGGUAGCCGUACCGGAAGGUGCGGCUGGAACACCUCCUUUUUAGAGAAAAACGGAUGGUUCGUGAUAAUUUUUAUGAACGACGUAGUUGUUUCUUUUCCUUCAAAAUAUUGAAUAAGCAGGAAGUCCUCCCUAUUGGACUCAAGUAGGAGGGAAUUUAAAGUCCCGUAGCUCAGUUGGUUAGAGCACUACACUGAUAAUGUAGGGGUCAGCAGUUCAAAUCUGCUCGGGACUACUAGACUUUUUUAGAGAAGUUUAAGUAUACUGGGGGAUUAGCUCAGCUGGCUAGAGCACCUGCCUUGCACGCAGGGGGUCAUCGGUUCGACUCCGAUAUCCUCCACGUAAAAAGUUCAUUGACAUAUUGGAAUUGAUUGAAGUAGUAAACAAAUAGAGAAAAAAACUAAUAAGUUUGAUAAGUUACUAAGGGCACACAGGGAAUGCCUUGGCUCUGAGAGGCGAAGAAGGACGUGAUAAGCUGCGAUAAGGUACGGGGAUAAGCAAAUAUUAAUUGAUCCGUACAUUU
rnacentral:rRNA from 1 species